CCUACGGGAGGCAGCAGUGGGGAAUCUUGCGCAAUGGGCGAAAGCCUGACGCAGCAACGCCGCGUGCGGGAAGAAGGCUUUCGGGCUGUAAACCGCUUUCAGCAGGAACGAAAAUGACGGUACCUGCAGAAGAAGGAGCGGCCAACUAUGUGCCAGCAGCCGCGGUGAUACAUAGGCUUCAAGCGUUGUCCGGAUUUAUUGGGCGUAAAGAGUUCGUAGGCGGUCGAGUAAGUCGGGUGUGAAAAUUCUGGGCUCAACCCAGAGACGCCACCCGAUACUGCUUAACUUGAGUUCGAUAGGGGAGUGGGGAAUUCCUAGUGUAGCGGUGAAAUGCGCAGAUAUUAGGAGGAACACCGGUGGCGAAGGCGCCACUCUGGAUCGAUACUGACGCUGAGGAACGAAAGCAUGGGUAGCAAACAGGAUUAGAUACCCUGGUAGUCCAUGCCGUAAACGGUGGGCACUAGGUGUGGGAUUCUAUUAACGAAUUCCGCGCCGUCGCUAACGCAUUAAGUNCCCCGCCUGGGGGUAGGUACGGUCGCGAGACGUAAACUUAAAUAGAUAAGUAGGCGUUGAGAGUUGCCGAGGCGACACGAGGGAGGAGG
rnacentral:rRNA from 1 species